GCCAUCGUAAGCGAUUUUCUUCUCAGCCUUCGUAGUUUUUGGUGCCAUAGAUUAUUAUUCGUUUUUUUUGGUGCCAUAGAUUAUUAUUCGAUUUUCUUCUCGACCUUGGUAGCUUUUGGUGCUAAGACGAAGAAAUGAGCGUCAAGGCGGACAUCAAAACGGCGCUGUCACUUUAACCUUCUCUUUGUUCAGAGUUAGGGUUUGGGGAAAGUGGGGAACAGAAGCAAGAAGCGGUGGAUGAAAAAAAACCAAAU
rnacentral:lncRNA from 1 species